AGUCGCAUAGCUCAGCGGGUUAGAGCGCCGGGCAGAUAACCCGGAGACCGAUGGUUCGAACCCAUCUGUGACUACCA
rnacentral:tRNA from 1 species